rnacentral:rRNA from 1 species
GGGGUGGAGACCAGGUAGGCCAGUAUCUUUCUGGAUAGACCUUGGAGUCGGGUUGUUUGUGAAUGCAGCCCAAAGUGGGUGGUAAACUCCAUCCAAGGCUAAAUACAAGCACGAGUCCGAUAGCGAACAAGUACCGUGAGGGAAAGUUGAAAAGUACUUUGAAGAGAGAGUAAACAGUGCGUGAAACCGGUCAGAGGUAAACGGGUGGAGUUGAACUGCGAACCGUGGGAAUUCAGCUGGUGAGCGUGGUUUGAGCUUGGUCAAGUCGGUUGGAGCCUGGAGUCUGUGUAACAGCAGGCCUCUGCCCCUCGGGGUGGGGGUGCGCGGUGCACUUAUCAAGUGUUGCGCGCUCUGGGUUUCCUUCGGGCCGGCUCGCCAGUGCACUUUCUCGCGGUGGUCACCACGACCGGCACUGCUGUCUGGCUGUUUCGGUUAAACCGGCUUCGCAUUGUCCUUGUGGCUCUGCUUGGUCGGGAUGGCAGGUAGCUCGUUGGCUAGCUUGUGGUUCGCCGCAAGUAUUCGGUCUUCGAGUGUAAUCAGCUGACCGUUUCGGUUCUGUGCAGCGUGUCGGGGACGGCGGCUUUUGUGUGUGCGUGCGUGCCGGGUUGGUCGGCAAGUCCGAGUUCUGGUUGUUACGUAGCCUGUGAAGGCAGGCCUGAUGAUGGCUCGGGUUUGUUCGGUUGACGGUUGCGUGCGUGGCACGGUUGCAUGGGCCAAUAGUCUGUGGUGUUGUGGUAGACUAUCCACCCGACCCGUCUUGAAACACGGACCAAGGAGAGUAACAUGUGCGCGAGUCAUUGGGCGUUACGAAACCCAAAGGCCUAAUGAAAGUAAAGGUUUGGCUUGUCCAGACUGAGGUGAGAUCCUGUCGUUUCCCAUGCGCGGUAUCACCAAGCUUCGAGCGGCAGGCGCAUCACCGGCCCGUCCCAUGACAAUUGUUUUCGGAUAUUACCCAGUCGGGGCGGAGCAUGAGCGUACAUGUUGAGACCCGAAAGAUGGUGA